rnacentral:rRNA from 1 species
UACGAAGGGGGCUAGCGUUGUUCGGAAUUACUGGGCGUAAAGCGAACGUAGACGGUGUUCCAUGUCAGAGGUGAAAGCCUGGGGCUCAACUCCAGAAUUGCCUUUGAAACGGGAACGCUUGAGUCCGAGAGAGGGUGGCGGAAUUCCUAGUGUAGAGGUGAAAUUCGUAGAUAUUAGGAAGAACACCAGUGGCGAAGGCGGCCACCUGGCUCGGUACUGACGCUCAGGUUCGAAAGCGUGGGGAGCAAACAGG